GACGAACGCUGGCGGCGUGCCUAAUACAUGCAAGUCGAACGCAGUGGGGACGGGUGAGUAACACGUGGGUAACCUCCCAUCAGAGGGGAUAACACUUGGAAACAGGUGCUAAACCGAUACUGAUGGAUGGACCCGCUGUGCAUUAGCUAGUUGGUGGGGGAACGGCUCACCAAGGCCACGAUGCAUAACGGGCCUGGGAGGGUGAACGGCCACACUGGAACUGAGACACGGCCCAGACUCCUACGUGAGGCAGCAGUGGGGAAUCUUCGGCAAUGGACGAAAGUCUUACCGAGAAAGGCCGCGUGAGUGAAGAAGGUUUUCGGAUCGUAAAACUCUGUUGUUAGAGAGGCGGUAUCUAACCAGAAAGCCACGGCUAACUACGUGCCAGCAGCCGCGGUAAUAC
rnacentral:rRNA from 1 species